rnacentral:rRNA from 1 species
ACGGGACCGCACAAGCGGUGGAUGAUGUGGAUUAAUUCGAUGCAACGCGAAAACCUUACCUACCCUUGACAUGUCUGGAACCUUGGUGAGAGCCGAGGGUGCCUUCGGGAGCCAGAACACAGGUGCUGCAUGGGCUGUCGUCAGCUCGUGUCGUGAGAUGUUGGGUUAAGUCCCGCAACGAGCGCAACCCUUGUCACUAGUUGCCAUCAUUUGGUUGGGCACUCUAGUGAGACUGCCGGUGACAAACCGGAGGAAGGUGGGGAUGACGUCAAGUCCUCAUGGCCCUUAUGGGUAGGGCUUCACACGUCAUACAAUGGUCGGUACAGAGGGUUGCCAAGCCGCGAGGCGGAGCCAAUCCCACAAAGCCGAUCGUAGUCCGGAUUGUUCUCUGCAACUCGAGAGCAUGAAGUCGGAAUCGCUAGUAAUCGCAGGUCAGCAUACUGCGGUGAAUACGUUCCCGGGUCUU